rnacentral:misc_RNA from 1 species
AACGCACAUUGCGCCCUCUGGUAUUCCGGGGGGCAUGCCUGUUCGAGCGUCAUUACAACCCUCAAGCUCUGCUUGGUAUUAGGCCUCACCCAUCAGGGUGGGCUGUAAAAUCAGUGGCGGUGCCAUUCGGCUUCAAGCGUAGUAAUUUUUCUCGCUUUGGAGUACCGGCUGUGUGCCUGCCAGUAACCCCAAUUUUUAUCUCAAAGGUUGACCUCGGAUCAGGUAGGGAUACCCGCUGAACUUAA